GCAGUGGCUGCUGGACCAUGGGUGGAGAAGACCGGAAAAGACUUUGAUCCAUUUCCAAUUCAAUCGGAUGGACAGAGUUGUGGGAUCUUCAUGAUUAUGUACGCCCUCAGCAUCUGCACUAAUGCCCAAUUUGACUUUUUGGAUACGGACAUACCAUCCAUUCGCAAGUGGUGGUGUCUGCAGAUUCUGGAGAAAUUUUCGAUCACUAGG